rnacentral:rRNA from 1 species
GACGAACGCUGGCGGCGUGCUUAACACAUGCAAGUCGAACGAAGUGGCGAAGGGGUGAGUAACGCGUAAUCCACCUGCAUUUCAGAGGGGGACAACAGUAGGAAGCGGCUGCUAAUACCGCAUACUGAGGGUGGGGAUUGCGUCUGAUUAGCUAGGUGGAGGGGUAACGGCCCACCAAGGCGAUGAUCAGGAGCCGGUUCGAGAGGAUGGACGGCCACAUUGGGACUGGGACACGGCCCAGACUCCUACGGGAGGCAGCAGUGGGGAAUCUUCCGCGAUGGACGGAAGUCUGACGUAGCAACGCCGCGGUAUUGAUGACGGCCUUCGGGUUGUAAAGCUCUGUUAAUCGGGACGCGGUACCGGAAGAGAAAGCAACGGCUAACUACGUGCCAGCAGCCGCGGUAAUAC